UCCCCGGGCCGCGCUCUAGGUGAGGCGCCAAGCGGUCUCCGCCUCAGGGUCUGAGGCUGCGAAAGGGGCGUAACAAUGAGUGGUUCCUGCGAGAGGUCUGGGGAGGAUGAAAAGCAGGAGGAAGAGGCGACGGCGGCCUGUGGACGUCUUGCAGGGGUCCCCGAGGCCGAUUCGGACUCCGACCUAGAGACGGAAGGUGCUCGGGGCAGGGGCCAGGCCCGUCUCCUCCCCUUGGCGGCUUCUCCCGCAGGGGUUGUGGGAGGUGGGCUGGGGCCGAGGAGGCAGGAGACCCCUGUCCAGCAGUGCACGUAGCCCUCUGCGGGGUGUCUCCAGCCCCCUGCCCUCCCCUCGGCGCUCCUGGCGGCUUCAGGAACUUUACCAUGAGAAGGCGCUUCUAGAAAGAGGUUAAAAUGGAAAAUCCCGCCAGACAGUACACCAAAGGCUGUCCCGCCCUGAAAUGCAAUCAGAGCUGGGUUUUCCCAAUCCACAGGCACCCAUGGACUUGGAGAACUGGUCAGGGACACCCUCUACCUGAGGUCUUGCCGGAUCCAUAGCAUUGUGCCCAUCUUCUGCUUUCUGUGCCAAGGGAGCUCCCCAGAGCUGAACCUGCUGCACGGUGGCCUGGGGCCCCAGAUGUGGACCUGUUGGAGAACCAGUUGGCAGUGGCAGGAGUCCAGGCCCUCUGUGCUGCCCUCACUGUGAACCAGGCCAUGCGGAAGAUGCAGCUGUCAAGGAAUGGCCUGGAGGAGCAGGCGGCCCAGUACCUUGCCGAACUCCUGCUGGCCCACAUAGACCUGAAGUCCCUGGACCUGAGCUAUAACCAGCUGAAUGACCAAGCAGGCGGAUCUGUGCAUGGGACUGCAGGGCUUCCUCAUCUUCCACAGCUUUGGGGGCGGCACUGGCUCUGGGUUCGUGUCUCUGCUCAUGGAGCGGCUCUCGGUGGACUACAGGAAGAAGUCCAAGCUGAAGUUUGCCAUUUACCCAGUCCCCCAGGUCUCCACGGCCAUGACGGAGCCCUACAACUCCAUCCUGACCACCUACACGUCCCUGGAACAUUCUGACUGUGCCUUCACGGUCGACAGCAAAGCCACCUAUGACAUGUCGGCACAACCUGGACAUCGAGUGUCCCACGUACACCAACCUCAGUCGUCUGGGCAGAUCGUGUCCUCCAUCACGGCCUCCCUGUGAUUUGUUGGGGCCCUGAAUGUGUACUUGACAGAAUUCCAAACCAACCUGGUGCUGUACCCCCACAUCCACCUCCCCCUGGCCACCUAUGCCCUGGUCAUCUCAGCCAAGAAGGUCUACCAUGAGCAGCUGUCCGUGGCCGAGAUCGCCAGUGCCCGCUUCGAGCCACCCAAUCAGAUGGUCAAAUGUGACCCUCACCACGGCAAGUACAUGGCCUGCUGCAUGUUGUACAGAGGGGAUGUGGUCCUGAAAGAUGUCAGUGCGGCUCUCGCCACCAUCAAGAGCAAGCACACCAACCAGUUUGUGGACUGGUGUCCGAUUGGAUUUAAGGUAGGACUGGGUGAUGUGGAGUCCUUGUGCCGUCAGGAAGCAGCAGACCUGCAGAAUAAUGCUGCCCCUGAAGGCCCGCAUCCUUUGUGGAGACAACCCCUUUUGACGUCAGCUAGGUUGCAAGGAGAAUAAUUUUAGUAAU
rnacentral:sRNA from 1 species